rnacentral:rRNA from 1 species
CCUACGGGGGGCAGCAGUGAGGAAUAUUGGUCAAUGGGCGCAAGCCUGAACCAGCCAAGUCGCGUGAGGGAUGACGGCCCUAUGGAUUGUAAACCUCUUUUGUCGGGGAGCAAGGCGCGCCACGUGUGGCGGGACGGAGAGUACCCGGAGAAAAAGCAUCGGCUAACUCCGUGCCAGCAGCCGCGGUAAUACGGAGGAUGCGAGCGUUAUCCGGAUUUAUUGGGUUUAAAGGGUGCGCAGGCGGAAGAUCAAGUCAGCGGUAAAAUUGAGGGGCUCAACCUCUUCCAGCCGUUGAAACUGGUGUUCUUGAGUGGGCGAGAAGUAUGCGGAAUGCGUGGUGUAGCGGUGAAAUGCAUAGAUAUCACGCAGAACUCCGAUUGCGAAGGCAGCAUACCGGCGCUCAACUGACGCUGAUGCACGAAAGUGUGGGUAUCGAACAGGAUUAGAUACCCGGGUAGUC